rnacentral:lncRNA from 10 species
UGAGCCAGUGUGACAGAUGAGAAAGCAGAUGCCACAGACUACUUUGGUGCCUUGUUUUUCCUCCAUCAGACUGGCUCUUAGUAUUUCAGAUGGUGGAAGCUCUGUGAGUCUGGAUUUGAGUAAAGAUGGUGAGAUAUUUGUCCCUAGAACGCAGAUAACUGGAUCAAGGCUACUCUUCCUGGAAACCUCAUGUAUGCCACCUGCCCAACCAUUUCUAUGGACAUAUU